AAACUUUCAACAAUGGAUCUCUUGGCUCUCGCAUUGAUGAAGAACGCAGCGAAAUGCGAUAAGUAAUAUGAAUUGCAGAAUUCCGUGAAUCAUCAAAUUUUUGAACGCAAAUUGCACUUCUUGGUAUUCCAAGGAGUACACAUGCUUGAGGGUCAGU
rnacentral:rRNA from 1 species